UCAUGGGAUUGUAGUUCGUACCCUCGUGAAAGACGGCGGAUUUUCUCUCGGAUGUCAGACACCCCCUCUCAAAUCUUCCUGCAGGAAAGAGGAAGAGGAGGAGAGGAGAAUGAUGAAGAAGAUUUCCCGCCCAUCCUCCCAAAACCAGAGGUCGAAGCUCCCAGGAAGUGAGUUCUUCACUCUCAGAGUUGUGUGAGCAUGACUGUCCCAUUUGGCAUGUGAGUCCCAGUGUGAGGAAUACAGUCAUUUCACCCUGAAUCCUUCCGUUGGCCAACCCCAAAUCCAACCACCCCACUUCACCAGUAACAGACAGCUUUCCAACCCAUCGCUGCCUCCACCUAUCAUUAAGAGACCACAAUUCACGAUCCAAUGUGUUCCCGAUGGAUAAAAUCCAGUUCUGCUCUACAUUUUGAACUUUUUGAAUGUCCUGUUUGACCAAAAUGCAUUACAUUACAGUAAAAUGGGUUGUAAACGUUGUUUUAUAUUGACUUUAAAGGAACAGCAGUGCUUUUACCCUAAUAAUUAUUUAAAUAAAUAAUUCAAAUGUUAAAUAUGAGUGGAGUUGCUUGGGAAAUAUUCGAUUGUAGGGAACUUCAUUGUGGUCCAAGAUGGCGGAAGGCAGGUACGUCCAGUGUAAAUGCAGGUGUGGUGUUGGUUUUACACGAAACCCGACAAUUUCCUAAACACUUUGAGGCAAAUCAUGAUGCAUUGAUUAUUUCUUUUAACAGUUUGGUAAAUCAAAUAGGGGAAGAAUGUUGCUGUUGCUAUUUUUAUUAGAUAAUUUUCGGAACAUUUGCAAAAAGUUCAACAAUGAAACCACCUGGGUAGCUCAGUGAGUAUUGAUGACUACCACCUCUGGAGUCGUGAGUUCGAAUCCAGGGCGUGCUGAGUGACUCCAGCCAGGUCUCCUAAGCAACCAAAUUGGCCCGGUUGCUAGGGAGGGUGGAGUCACAUGGGGUAACCUCCUCGUGGUCACGAUUAGUGGUUCUCGCUCUCAAUGGGGCGUGUGGUAAGUUGUGCGUGGAUCGUGGAGAGUAGCAUGAGCCUCCACAUGCUGUGAGUCUCCGCGGUGUCAUGCACAACGAGUCACGUGAUAAGAUGCGCGGACUGACGGUCUCAGAAGCGGAGACAACUGAGACUUGUCCUCUGCCAC